GCGGGCGUAGUUCAGUGGUAGAACACUAGCCUUCCAAGCUGGUUAUGUCGGUUCGAUCCCGAUCGCCCGCU
rnacentral:tRNA from 2 species